UUAACCCCAGUGAUUCCUAGAAAUGAUUAGUGGAGUGAAAAGAAUAGCAGUCCAUUUUCUUCAAAGAGCUCUUUUUUCUACAAGAGACAAUGUCCAUCCAAGAGAUCUCUUAUCUUCACUUCAUUAUCCUCAAAGAGAUCUCUUAUAACUCCAUUGUGUUCACAGGCAUGGAUGCUAUGUGGCAACCAUCAUUGUGCAAUUUGAUCUAUACUUGCUUAUGUUAUCUAAUUGAAAUCCUGUGAUUUGAGUUGAACACUAUUGAAAUUAUUCGUGGUAACUUGAAUCCUAUUUGAAUUUAGGUAAACUAGUUGUAGAAAUUCACUCAAUAACCAAAAAGUGGCAGUUCAUGAAGCUGUAGGAUUUUUGAGAUUUUUCUCAUGGAUUUAAAGGGAGUUGAGAUAGAAUUGCGCCAACAGUCUAAAGUGGGCUUUUUUCCUGUUAUGAUUCUGGAUGUCACAACUGAAAUUUGAUCUUGGUUUGUUAGAAUAUCGUUGGUUGAUGCAUAUUAUAUAUUUCCAGGUCUCUUAAUUAUUCAUUUUGUAUUAAUUCCAAGAUAAGUUAUAGAUCAUGUGAUUUGCCAACCAUUUAAUCUGGCCUUCUUAAUGUUAUGGCCUAAUCUAAACUUGUAAAUAUCGAUAUUACCUAAUCUUUCAAAUUCUUUACAUCAGUUCAGCUUUGAAUUCAUGGGGCAAUUUGACUUGGUAGCAUGGUGAUUAUUAAGCACCAAAUCAUUGACAUCCUAGGAUUUGGUUGCAGACAUAGAUGAUGAAAUUAAUUACAGGCACCCAAAAAGGUCUAGAGCUGAUUUCAGGCCGCCAAGAGGACCAAGAAGCUAUGAUGAUACUGAUGGCGGAACACCAAGUUCACCUGGAAGAUCACAGAGAGGACAUUCAAGAGACGAUGAGCCAAUGACUGAUCAAACUGAUGAUGAGCCUUGUGAGGAAGAAGACGAUGAUGAAGGAGAGUUUGAAAUGUAUUGUGUCCAAGGAACUUUGAGGGAGUGGGUUACCAGAGAUGAAGUGCGCCGGUCCAUUGCUAAGAAAUUUAAGGAAUUCUUGCUUACGUAUGUAAAUCCAAAGAAUGAACAAGGAGAUCUUCCAAAAAUGGAGAAAAUAAAGGACAGGGGUGAUAGUGCAUUACCUGUCCCUUCACUUCUCUAAGAAUCCCUGAAGUGAGUGACUCCUUGCAAUCAAAAGUUCUGCAAAAAUAAAGAAAAAUGAUAAUAUAUAUAUGAUGGAGCAGUGACUAACAGGUGACGAUGAAGACAAAUGAGUAUUUAAUGAAGCUUUUGGAUUUAAAAAUUUUACCAGCUUGUAGCUUGCUAAGUGGAUUGUUUUGAUUCGGAAGAACUUGGGGUUGUGCAAGAUGCUGCUGCUAAAGUGCUCUAAAGGGAUGGAGAUUUUGUGAGAACUGGCGAUGCAGCAGGAGAAUUGACCACUACAUUCUUCAUGUUGUUAGUAUUAUUCUUUGUUGAUUUCUUUUCUCCACUCCGCUCUCUCCUUUCCAUGUGAUGUUCAUUUAUCAAAGGGAUGGGCCAUCAUAUGUAAGCCACACAUGAUAGGAUGGUCCCAAACUUCUAAUUGAAAUUCAGGUGGAAUUUAUGUCUUUGAUGGACUAUAAACUUAAAGGGAAUUGUAGUUCAAAUUCAAAUGCAUUUGAUGCCAAUAAUUGAAUAUCAUUGUUUUAUAAUCUCACAGGAAAAUCUAAAUUUUAUGUACUCCUUGUUUUUGUUAUCUGAUUGCAUCUUCCUAUCUGUUGUCAUUACAAUGCUACUUGUCCUUUGGGAACAUGGUUCAUGUGGUUUGUAUUGGUAAAAGUAGGACCUCAUGAGUCAAGAUUUUUCUUCCAGAAAUUACUUCAAACUUCAUUAAAUGAUAGGGUAAUUAGGUUCUCAUUGUCCUUUUUUCAAAGUGUAAAUCUUACUAAUUGUAUUCAACAUGUGCAGAGAAAAGCAGUUAUAUAGCACAUGUACUUGGGAAGGAACCUGCUGAUGUUUACAGAGAAAAGCAGUUACAACACAUCAUGGUCCAAGAUGAAGUCCUAGCCAAUAGGUUGGGCCUUAUUCCCAUCAAGGCUGACCUAAGGCUGUUUGAAUAUGUUUCAGGUACUUCUUCAAGGUCUUUCUUCAAGGGAUUUGAUAUGUGGAAGGAAGAAACUGUAAUGAAGGAGCACGAAUGUUGACCAUGAACAAGCCUUUUAACUAAGCUGAAGCAACAAUGGGGUGGCCAACUUAUGUUGUAGAUGGAAGGAAUGGUCUGUCAUAUAUUAACUACUUGCCCGAGCUAGUUGCAUGCGUGCGUUUGCUUUCUUCUUCUUUCUUAAAGGGAUUUCUUGGCUUUGUUCUUUCAUGUUUUUCUGGCAAUGUAGGUUACUGAUUUUCCAUUAGCA